GCAUAUCAAUAAGCGGAGGAAAAGAAACCAACAGGGAUUGCCCUAGUAACGGCGAGUGAAGCGGCAACAGCUCAAAUUUGAAAUCUGGCUUUCGGGCCCGAGUUGUAAUUUGUAGAGGAUGAUUUUGAUGCGGUGCCUUCCGAGUUCCCUGGAACGGGACGCCAUAGAGGGUGAGAGCCCCGUCUGGUUGGAUGCCAAAUCUCUGUAAAUCUCCUUCGACGAGUCGAGUAGUUUGGGAAUGCUGCUCUAAAUGGGAGGUAUAUGUCUUCUAAAGCUAAAUACCGGCCAGAGACCGAUAGCGCACAAGUAGAGUGAUCGAAAGAUGAAAAGCACUUUGAAAAGAGAGUUAAAAAGUACGUGAAAUUGUUGAAAGGGAAGCGUUUAUGACCAGACUUGGGCUUGGUUAAUCAUCUGGGGUUCUCUCCAGUGCACUUUUCCAGUCCAGGCCAGCAUCAGUUUUCGCCGGGGGAUAAAGGCUUCGGGAAUGUGGCUCCCCUCGGGGAGUGUUAUAGCCCGUUGUGUAAUACCCUGGUGGGGACUGAGGUUCGCGCUUCUGCAAGGAUGCUGGCGUAAUGGUCAUCAACGACCCGUCUUGAAACACGGACCAAGGAGUCGUCUUCGUAUGCGAGUGUUCGGGUGUCAAACCCCUACGCGUAAUGAAAGUGAACGCAGGUGAGAGCUUCGGCGCAUCAUCGACCGAUCCUGAUGUUCUCGGAUGGAUUUGAGUAAGAGCAUACGGGGCCGGACCCGAAAGAAGGUGAACUAUGCCUGUGUAGGGUGAAGCCAGAGGAAACUCUGGUGGAGGCUCGCAGCGGUUCUGACGUGCAAAUCGAUCGUCAAACAUGGGCAUGGGGGGCGAAAGACUAAUCGAACCUUCUAGUAGCUGGGUUUCCGCCGAG
rnacentral:rRNA from 1 species